GACGAACGCUGGCGGCGUGCUUAACACAUGCCAGUCGAACGGAAAGGCCCUGCUUUUGUGGGGUGCUCGAGUGGCGAACGGGUGAGUAACACGUGAGUAACCUGCCCUUGACUUUGGGAUAACUUCAGGAAACUGAGGCUAAUACCGGAUAGGAGCUCCUGCUGCAUGGUGGGGGUUGGAAAGUUUCGGCGGUUGGGGAUGGACUCGCGGCUUAUCAGCUUGUUGGUGGGGUAGUGGCUUACCAAGGCUUUGACGGGUAGCCGGCCUGAGAGGGUGACCGGCCACAUUGGGACUGAGAUACGGCCCAGACUCCUACGGGAGGCAGCAGUGGGGAAUAUUGCACAAUGGGCGGAAGCCUGAUGCAGCAACGCCGCGUGCGGGAUGACGGCCUUCGGGUUGUAAACCGCUUUCGCCUGUGACGAAGCGUGAGUGACGGUAAUGGGUAAAGAAGCACCGGCUAACUACGU
rnacentral:rRNA from 1 species